UACGUAGGGGGCAAGCGUUGUCCGGAAUCAUUGGGCGUAAAGAGCGUGUAGGCGGUCCGUUAAGUCGGCUGUGAAAGUCCAAGGCUCAACCUUGGGAUGCCGGUCGAUACUGCCGGACUAGAGUUCGGAAGAGGCGAGUGGAAUUCCCGGUGUAGCGGUGAAAUGCGCAGAUAUCGGGAGGAACACCGGUGGCGAAGGCGGGUCUCUGGGCAAUUCCUGACGCUGAGGCGCGAAAGCGUGGGGAGCAAACGGG
rnacentral:rRNA from 1 species